AGGAAGAGAAAUGGGGAGCCAGAUGGCUCCUCUCAAGGCCUUUUGGGAUAGCUGGGGAAUCCUAAGAUCCUAGCUCUUGAGUAAGAACAGAUCUAAGAGAUCAUUAACCCUUUUGACAAAUAAUUUUUCAUUUGAUGAAUAAAUUUGAUUUCUUAUUUGACAAAUAAAUAAAUUGAGACCCAGGGAGGUUAGGUACCAUAAAUACAGUGCCUGGCACACAGGAAACAUUUAAUAAAUGUUUACUGAAUUGAAGUGAAAAUUCAGGGUCACACAGGUAAGUAAGUGUAAGAAGUGGGAUUUGAAUCUAGAUCCUCUGAUUUCAGAGCCCUCUUUAAGGCUAUCUAGUUUCAUUAGAAGGAUGUUACUAAAUGACCUAAUUAAUUCUCUUCCUUUUGUAAGCAGAGCUUGUCCUAUGUGACACAACACCCUGUCCCCUCCAGCAGCCACACUUUCUCAGGUGCCAGACUUGUCUCUAUUUUUUGUCUCCAGGGUCAAAGUCACAAUCUCAGACAUGGAAAUAAUGAAGCCGACAUGGCCGUGACAGAUAGCACACCCAGGGAAAUGAACUUGAGAGUUCCAGCGGCUGAGUGAGGACUUCUUAAUCACCUGCAGCAAACAGAUGAAUAAGUAUGGACCAGACAAGAUUUCCAAUAGAAAGGAUGGAAAAGUUCCUAAGAGGUCUGGAAACAAGACUCUAUCAUGAAUCCACUGGUAGCCACAACAGUCAAGGCUUGUGAAGAGAUGGAAGCUGAUGAGCAACCUAUUUGAGCCAGCCUGAAACUGGAUUAACAUGGUACCUGAGACACUGUCCAUAAGUAAGGGAGUGACUCAGCCAGUGGCUGAAGUAUCUUCAGACUAUUUGAAGAGAGAAAAAGACUCCCAGACUAGAAAAUCAUUACUCCAUGGGAAUGUUUCAUAGGAAUUUUUUAAAGUUUGAGUCUAAUUCUCCUUAGAAAGGGAAUGGAUUUGUAGAGGAAAGAAUAUACCUCCCAGUUUGGGAGCCCCAGAUCUUUUGCUACUCUUAAAUAUGUAUAAGUUGCCUUUACUGAUAAGAUGUAAACUCCUUGAAAUCAGGGAUUAUUUUACUUUUUGUACUUGUAUCUCUAGUACCCAACAGUGCUUGAUGUAUACUGUAAUAGGUACUUAAUAAAUGCUCGUUGAUUGAUUCCA